rnacentral:tRNA from 1 species
AAGAACUUAGGCUAAUUUAGACCAAAGGCCUUCAAAGCCUUUAGCAGAAGUUAAAAUCUUCUAGUCCUUG